AGUGAACGCUGGCGGUAGGCCUAACACAUGCAAGUCGAACGGCAGCACAGUAAGAGCUUGCUCUUACGGGUGGCGAGUGGCGGACGGGUGAGGAAUACAUCGGAAUCUACUUUUUCGUGGGGGAUAACGUAGGGAAACUUACGCUAAUACCGCAUACGACCUCCGGGUGAAAGCAGGGGAUCUUCGGACCUUGUGCGAUUGAAUGAGCCGAUGUCGGAUUAGCUAGUUGGCGGGGUAAAGGCCCACCAAGGCGACGAUCCUUAGCUGGUCUGAGAGUAUGAUCGGCCACACUGGAACGGAGACACGGUCAAGACUCCUACGGGAGGCAGCAGUGGGGAAUAUGGGACAAUGGGCGCAAGCCUGAUCCAGCCAUACCGCGUGGGUGAAGAAGGCCUUCGGGUUGUAAAGCCCUUUUGUUGGGAAAGAAAAGCAGCAGGUUAAUACCCCGCUGUUCUGACGGUACCCAAAGAAUAAGCACCGGCUAACUUCGUG
rnacentral:rRNA from 1 species